UACAGAGGUCCCAAGCGUUGUUCGGAUUCACUGGGCGUAAAGGGCGCGUAGGCGGUGUGUCACGUCGAUUGUGAAAGCCCGAGGCUUAACCUCGGGUCUGCAGUCGAUACGGGCUAGCUAGAGUGUGGUAGGGGAGAUCGGAAUUCCUGGUGUAGCGGUGAAAUGCGCAGAUAUCAGGAGGAACACCGGUGGCGAAGGCGGAUCUCUGGGCCAUUACUGACGCUGAGGAGCGAAAGCGUGGGGAGCGAACAGG
rnacentral:rRNA from 1 species